UACGUAGGGUGCAAGCGUUAAUCGGAAUUACUGUGCGUAAAGCGUGCGCAGGCGGUUUUGUAAGUCUGACGUGAAAUCCCCGGGCUCAACCUGGGAAUUGCGUUGGAGACUGCAAGGCUAGAAUCUGGCAGAGGGGGGUAGAAUUCCACGUGUAGCAGUGAAAUGCGUAGAGAUGUGGAGGAACACCGAUGGCGAAGGCAGCCCCCUGGGUCAAGAUUGACGCUCAUGCACGAAAGCGUGGGGAGCAAACAGG
rnacentral:rRNA from 1 species